rnacentral:rRNA from 1 species
GACGAACGCUGGCGGCGUGCCUAACACAUGCAAGUCGAACGGAGAUACGAUUUCGGUUGUAUCUUAGUGGCGAACGGGUGAGUAACGCGUGAGCAACCUGACCUUCAGAGGGGGAUAACAUUUGGAAACAGAUGCUAAUACCGCAUAAGACCACGACCCGACAUCGGGAUGAGGUCAAAGGAGCAAUCCGCUGGAGGAGGGGCUCGCGUCCCAUUAGAUAGAUGGCGGGGUAACGGCCCACCAUGCCGACGAUGGGUAGCCGAGCGGAGAGGCUGAUCGGCCACACUGGAACUGGGACACGGUCCAGACUCCUACGGGAGGCAGCAGUGGGGAAUAGUGGGCAAUGGGCGCAAGCCUGACCCAGCAACGCCGCGUGAGGGAAGAAGGCUUUCGGGUUGUAAACCUCUGUCCUUGGUGACGAAACAAAUGACGGUAGCCAAGGAGGAAGCCCCGGCUAACUACGUGCCAGCCGCCGCAGUAA